AGACUAAAGGCGAAGAGCUUCCAGGGAGGCGUUCUCUGUGCUUCAGUGAAGAUACUUCUCAUGCGUGAGUUCUGGAAAUGGCUCUUACAGCUCUGGCUGCAUUUGGAAUUUCUUUGCAUUGGCAGCAUUCCGGGGCCAGCCAUGGACUGGACCCUCACAACAGCAGGGAUAACACUAGCUCCAUAACCCACUGAGCCAUCACGGAACUCUGGACCUGUCUACUUCAGAAGUCCUUACUCCUUUCACGACAUGUUCUCUCCAAGUGACCUUCAAAAACAUCUUUUAUCUGAAUGGCAGGACUUGUUAAAAGAGCAUAUUCAAAAGUAGUCUUUUUUGUUGUGAGCCACACGGAAGCCUGAGAGAAAUGUUUGCCAUGAAAACUUGAGACCUUAAAGAUGAAGUGAAGCUGUUUUCCCACUUCUUAGAUGAAAAUCAAAGUCUCAGGGAGGUACUGUUAUUUACUCAUUCACACAAAUUUUUAAUGACAGAGACCAAUCAGAACCUAAAUCAUUUUUUUUUGCAUCAAAUAUAAGUAAAUGAGAAUAUCUGUGAAAAAAAUAAAAAUAAAAAGCAUCACUCAGGAGGUACUGCACAGAUGUAUAGUCAGUACAUGCUAUCCUCUCCGGCCUUCUGAAUUACGACCCAGUGCCCGCUAGUUCAACCUGUGACUGAUGUUAAUAAGGAAUGAGUAGGCAAUUACUUGUUGAAUGCAUUUCUGUGUAAAAUGUGAUAAUAACCAAAUGUUAAUGCCAUGCCCAAUACUAUGGAAACACUCCUUUGUACAAUUUGACAUAGCCUCCUUGGUCAAGGAGCUUCUUUCAUGUUGGAUUGGUCCUUCCAUACAACCAAUCCUCAAAAACAAAUGUGCGUAAUAGUCAUUUAGCGUUAGCCUGCGAGAGGUAGUCUUUAGCGAAGAUUCAUGGUACACUGCCUCUGCCGAGAAUUCUCCCGUUCGUGAACUGGACCUUUUGCUGUUAUCACACCUGCACACCUUUCUUGCAGCAGACCACCUGAGACUACUUUCCAAGAGCAAUGUCACAUGGUGCAUUAAUUAAAAUGUGCAAGCUACUGCUGCCGUGUGCUAAAUAAGAGGCAUCUCGGAAAUCAAGGCUGCGACCCACAGCAAGAGGUGCGGGCGCUAAGGUCACAAUGCUGUCUUGUUGUCCAGCGCCUGGGCUGCAUCACAUGAAGGAAGUGCCCAGCAUCACUUAGAGUGAUCCAGGAAGUAGGAAAGAAAGACACAGUCUGCUCCUCCGGCCAACAGAGCUUUUAAUAAGCUGGUCUUUCAUUAAGUGAAUUCCUAAAUGUUGACCAAAUUCUUUGAGACAGAGGCAGCUAAUGGCUUAGGGUGCAUGUGAUGCACUUGCUGUUUCAUAGACACUGAUUUAUUUAANAAAAAAAAAAAAAAAAAAAAAAAAAAAAGUUCUUCAGGCUGCUUUCCCAGAAUGCUCACAUGCUGGGAGUGGGGGCUGGGCAGAAACUUCUCUUCAGUGGUUUCUUUCAUGUCCCAAGAAGGAUGAUCAUGUGUUUUAGUUUAGCUGAUACAUUCCAAUAAAAUGAUUUUCAAAGAGACAGGACAAAUAAUAGGCGUUUUACAUAUGGUGGCUGUGCCUGUCACAUGGAGCUAAUUUUCUCAUACACAAUAUAUUUGUUAUUCCACAAGCUGGUUAUAAUUCAUUUAAGGCUCCUUUUUAUUUAAUUUUACCUAAUAAACUAAUGAAAUGGC
rnacentral:lncRNA from 1 species